ACAGGCUUCUAAUGAAAGAAUACAUUUACCAAGUAUUUGUGAAAGAUGCAGUAAAGAAAUGUUGAAAGUGGAAGCAAGCACAGCUCAGGAGCAGUUCCUUAAAUGGCGAAUUAAUGAAUUGCAGAAGAAGAAACUUGAAGGAGAAAUAGAAGAUCAUCUGCUCAAAGUGGCAUGUAUUCAUCUAUAGAACAGAGAAAUGGUCAAUUACAAUUCAAGAAGCAGCCCUGCAGAGUUGUCAGAUGGACAUAAUAAUUCUGUGUCUGUGUUAUUAAAGCAUAACAUAGUGUGGUAUUUAGCAAAAUAAUAACCUCAGAAAAUGGAGAAGAAAAUAGACAAAGACAGAGAGAGAGAGAAGUUGUGAUACGGGAACAAUUGAUGCGAACAUUUCUCUUUUAUUGUAAUUUUACUUUGAAAUUUAAAAAUAUUGUUAAGAAUGGUAUGGGAAAUUUCACAUUAAGAAGAUUCUGGAACAAUAAUUGGAAAUCAAACAAAAAACAGUAAUGAAGAAAAGAAUAAAAACAGUCAAAGAUCACAAUAAUCAUGGUGAGGCUCUGAUUGAGAUGAAUAAAAAAACAAAACUAAAAACUUA